rnacentral:rRNA from 1 species
GAUGAACGCUGGCGGCGUGCCUAAUACAUGCAAGUCGAGCGAACAGAUGAGGAGCUUGCUCCUCUGACGGUAGCGGCGGACGGGUGAGGAACACGUGGAUAACCUACCUAUAAGACUGGGAGAACUUCGGGAAACCGGAGCUAAUACCGGAUAAUAUAUUGAACCGCAUGGUUCAAUAGUGAAAGACGGUUUUGCUGUCACUUAUAGAUGGAUCCGCGCCGCAUUAGCUGGUUGGUAAGGUAACGGCUUACCAAGGCAACGAUGCGUAGCCGACCUGGGCGGGUGAUCGGCCACCCGGAAGCGAAGAUGCGCACCCGCCCCCUCCGGGAGGCACGAGCCGGAAUUCUACCGGAAGGGGCGAAGGCCUGUCGGAGCCACGCGGCGUGAGUCAGGACGGUCUUCGCCUCGUAAACCUUUAUUAUUUGGGAAGAACAAAGGUCUAACAGAUUAUGCGCUUAUUGCGGGACCCUAAUAAGAAGGCCCCGCUUACCUCGUU